ensembl:snRNA U1 U1 spliceosomal RNA
AAACUUACCUGACACAUGAAAUAACCUGAACAAGAAUGUGGUUUUCCUAGGCAAUGCUUGCGCAUCACAUUGUAUAUAUGCUGGCUUCUGCUAUUUCUCCAAGAGUGGAAAACUAGACUGCAUGAUUUACGGUAGUGGGGAACUGUGUUCACAGAGAAUUCCAC